rnacentral:rRNA from 1 species
GGGGAAUAUUGCGCAAUGGGGGGAACCCUGACGCAGCCAUGCCGCGUGAAUGAAGAAGGCCUUAGGGUUGUAAAGUUCUUUCGGUAUUGAGGAAGGUUGAUGUGUUAAUAGCACAUCAAAUUGACGUUAACUACAGAAGAAGCACCGGCUAACUCCGUGCCAGCAGCCGCGGUAAUACGGAGGGUGCGAGCGUUAAUCGGAAUAACUGGGCGUAAAAGGCACGCAGGCGGACUUUUAAGUGAGGUGUGAAAGCCCCGGGCUUAACCUGGGAAUUGCAUUUCAGACUGGGAGUCUAGAGUACUUUAGGGAGGGGUAGAAUUCCACGUGUAGCGGUGAAAUGCGUAGAGAUGUGGAGGAAUACCGAAGGCGAAGGCAGCCCCUUGGGAAUGUACUGACGCUCAUGUGCGAAAGCGUGGGGAGCAAACAGGAUUAGAUACCCUGGUAGUCCACGCUGUAAACGAUGUCGAUUUGGGGGUUGAACUUUAAGUUUGGCGCCCGUAGCUAACGUGAUAAAUCGACCGCCUGGGGAGUACGGCCGCAAGGUUA